UGAUUGUUCUAUUGUUAAUAACAGCUAAUACAAGUAUGAUAAGAGUGAUUUAAUGUCCAGUAUCUUUGUGUGAAUCAGUUUGGAUCUGAACGAGAUGUUCGGCUGCAUUGUUGCUGGAAAACCUGUGCUGAGUGACCCUAUUCCGGUAUCAGAGACGCAAGGUCUUAUCACCAUUCCAUAUCCCCCCAACGAGGUGCGUCACGUGGUCCUGUUCCUGACGAGUCCCUUGCCCAAUCCAGGAGUGGAGCUAGGAGCAGCUGUCCAUUUGGGAUACUCGGCCGAGGGAAGCACUGAAAUGCAGCCACGUGGACAACAAUAAGCCGAGUGCCAUUUUCAAAGUGGUGUUGCCUACUGCCGCUGAGAACUCGCAUCAACCACAGAAUGGAGUGGGCUUGUUCGGGCAAUUCAGCAGUCAACGACAACCCACUCAUACAGCCCACCUGCAGAUUGGUGUUUCGGUGGAGCCUCUGUCGGAGAUCUCCCAGAAGACAGCAUCUGACACGUACUCCAUCUCCACCCUAGACUCUUUCUCGCAGUUCUGUCGUGCGACCCUGGACAAUCUUCAAAAUUAUGUCAUGUCAUUUGCAGUGACGCAAUCGCAGAUGACACCAGACAACAAUGCAGCCUUUAUACCAAUGUCGUCAUUCGCUAACUGGGUCUCUAAUUUCGAGAGGAAGCUUCAGCACAAUCCAAACUUCUGGAAAAAAUAAAAACAUAAAAAUCCCAAUAGCUAUUCUUUGAUUUGCCGUGCUUUUUUUCUA